GAAAUAUAUAUAUUUACUAAAUUACACUUCUCAAAAGGCACUGAAUUGAAGGCACACCCCCAUUAUUAAAACAGCUGGAAGGAAUCAGGACUGGGUUUGGCUUCAGGGCACAACUAGCUGGACUCAGGAUAUUGACAGGAUAUUUAAAACAUUUUCUGUUGGUACCCAGUCAGCUGCAAUAAUGGUUGUUUUAAUGAGUGAUAUCAAGCCAUCACCCACACGCAAACAAACACACACAAACACACACACAGAAAGCAUGAAAUGAACAUGCAACCCUGAUAUCAGAGUUGUUUUCUUACGUCCUAAAGAGACAUGUCAAAAGAAAUAUGACAAACAAGAGUAUAAUCUUUGACACAGCAUAUAUUUCAUUUUAACAUACAUUCAUACGCAGUAUAGUCUUCUUCAGUGUAUAAGUCUUUACAGAUCUAUGUUUCUAUAAUGAAUAGCAUGUUACUAUAGAAAGCUUUGGCUUAUGGUGGUUGUACAUGGUAGCCACACAUAGGUCAGUCCCUGUGCCCUGGCAGUGACCUGGGGAGACUGUAUGUAGUGUAUGGUAUGCUGUGUGGCAUAUGGUAGGUGUGUGUGCGGCUAGUGUGUUGUACGUUAUGUAUUUAGCGAGUGUGGUGUGUAUGUGCAUGUGUGUGUAGUAUAUGAUGUGGGACAGUGAUGUGUGUGUAGGCUUUGUUGUUUGUGGUAAGGUGUAGGGACGGUGGUAUGUGGUGUGGUGUGGUAUGUGGUGUGGUAUGUCAUGUGGUAUGGUAUGUGGUGUGGUAUGUGGUAUGUGGUGUGGUAUGUGGUUUGGUGUGGUAUGUGGUGUGGUAUGUGGUGUGGUAUGUGGUAUGGUAUGUGGUGUGGUAUGUGGUGUGGUAUGUGGUAUGGUAUGUGGUGUGGUAUGGUAUGCGGUAUGGUAAGUGGUGUGGUAUGUGAUGUGAUGUGGUAUGUGGUGUGGUAUGGUGUGUGGUAUGGUGUGGUAUGGUAUGUGAUAUGAUGUGGUAUUUGGUGUGGUAUGUGAUGUGGUGUGGUAUGUGAUGUGGUAUGGUAUGUGGUGUGGUAUUGUAUACGGUGUGGUGUGGAAUGUGGUAUGGUAUGUGGUGUGGUAUGUUUUGUGGUAUGUGGUGUGGUAUUUAAUGUGGUGUGGUAUGUGGUAUGUGGUGUGUGGUGUGGUAUUUUGUGUGGUGUGUUAUGUGGUAUGGUAUGUGGUGUGGUGUGGUAUUUUAUGUGGUGUGGUGUGGUAUGUGGUAUUUUAUGUGGUGUGGUAUGUGGUAUGGUAUGUGGUGUGGUGUGGUAUUUUAUGUGGUGUGGUGUGGUAUGUGGUAUUUUAUGUGGUGUGGUAUGUGGUAUGGUAUGUGGUGUGGUGUGAUAUUUUAUGUGGUGUGUGGUAUGGUAUGUGGUGUGGUAUGUGGUAUUUUAUAUGCCGUGGUAUGUGGUGUGGUGUGAUAUUUUAUGUGGUGUGGUAUGUCAUGUGGUAUGGUAUGUGGUGUGGUAUGUGGUAUGUGGUGUGGUAUGUGGUAUGUGGUGUGGUAUGUGGUUUGGUGUGGUAUGUGGUGUGGUAUGUGGUGUGGUAUGUGGUGUGGUGUGUGAUGUGGUAUGUGGUGUGAUAUUUUAUGUGGUGUGGUAUGUGGUAUGGUAUUUUAUGUAGUGUGGUGUGGUGUGGUAUGUGGUAUGGUAUGUGGUGUGGUAUUUUAUGUGGUGUGGUAUUUUAUGUGGUGUGGUAUGUGGUGUGGUAUGUAGUGUAGUGUGGUGUGUGGUGUGGUAUGUGGUGCGGUAUGUGGUGUGGUAUGUGGUGUGUGGUAUGGUAUGUGGUGUGGUAUGUGGUAUGGUAUGUGGUGUGUGGUAUGUGGUGUGGUAUGUGGUGUGUGGUGUGUGGUGUGGUAUGUGGUAUGGUAUGUGGUGUGGUAUGUGGUGUGUGGUGUGUGGUGUGUGCGCUCGGAGAGAAAAGUGCUUAAGUCAUCUUGCACAGCAUCCCUGCUCCACCCAGCCCUGUAUGUAUGUAUGUAUGUAUGUAUCUGUCUGUAUGUAUGAAUCUAUCUGUAUGUUUCUAUCUGUCUGUAUGUAUCUGUCUGUAUGUAUCUGUCUGUAUGUAUCUGUCUGUAUGUAUCUGUCUGUAUGUAUCUGUCUGUAUGUAUCUGUCUGUAUGUAUCUGUCUGUAUGUAUCUGUAUAUAUGUAUCUGUCUGUAUGUAUCUGUCUGUAUGUAUCUGUCUGUAUGUAUCUGUCUGUAUGUAUCUGUAUAUAUGUAUCUGUCUGUCUGUAUGUAUCUGUCUGUAUGUAUCUGUCUGUAUGUAUCUGUCUGUAUGUAUCUGUCUGUAUGUAUCUAUCUGUAUGUAUCUGUCUGUAUGUAUCUGUAUAUAUGUAUCUGUC
ensembl:lncRNA